rnacentral:rRNA from 1 species
UACAGGAGGUGGCAAGCGUUGUUCGGAAUUACUGGGCGUAAGGGCGCGUAGGCGGUCUUGUAAGUCUUGUGUCGAAAUCCCUCGGCUUAACUGAGGAACUGCGUCCGAUACUGGUUGGCUUGAAUCCGGGAGAGGGACGUGGAAUUCCAGGUGUAGCGGUGAAAUGCGUAGAUAUGGGGAGGAACACCGGUGGCGAAGGCGGCCACCUGGACGGUCACUGACGCUGAGACGCGAAAGCGUGGGUAGCAAACAGG